AUUGAACGCUGGCGGCAUGCCUUACACAUGCAAGUCGAACGGCAGCAUGGAGAGCUUGCUCUCUGAUGGCGAGUGGCGAACGGGUGAGUAAUGCAUCGGAACGUACCGUGUAAUGGGGGAUAACGUAGCGAAAGUUACGCUAAUACCGCAUACGACCUGAGGGUGAAAGCAGGGGAUCGCAAGACCUUGCGUUAUACGAGCGGCCGAUGUCAGAUUAGCUAGUUGGUGAGGUAGAGGCUCACCAAGGCGACGAUCUGUAGCGGGUCUGAGAGGAUGAUCCGCCACACUGGGACUGAGACACGGCCCAGACUCCUACGGGAGGCAGCAGUGGGGAAUUUUGGACAAUGGGGGCAACCCUGAUCCAGCCAUGCCGCGUGAGUGAAGGAGGCCUUCGGGUUGUAAAGCUCUUUCGGCCGGGAAGAAAUCGCACAGGCUAAUACUCUGUGUGGAUGACGGUACCGGCAUAAGAAGCACCGGCUAACUACGUGCCAGCAGCCGCAGUAA
rnacentral:rRNA from 1 species